GAUGAAGAACGCAGCGAAAUGCGAUAAGUAGUGUGAAUUGCAGAAUUCAGUGAAUCAUCGAAUCUUUGAACGCACAUUGCGCCUCCCGGUAUUCCGGGAGGCAUGCCUGUUCGAGCGUCAUUAAAAUCACUCAAGCUUAGGUUUACCUAUUGCUUGGUCUUGGAGAUGGAAGCCAAUUUAUUGGAAUCCUCUUCGAAAUUCAAUGGCGAAGACCCUUGCUCUCCCAAGUGUAGUAAUAACUUAUGUCACUGAAGGAAGCGAGAAAUCUUCUGCCGUAACCCCCAUAUUUUCUAUGAUUGACCUCGGAUCAGGUAGGGAUACCCGCUGAACUUAAGCAUAUCAAUAAGCGGAGGA
rnacentral:misc_RNA from 1 species